rnacentral:rRNA from 1 species
AGAACGAGCGCUGGCGGCAGGCCUCAAACAUGCAAGUCUAGGGGGUGUAGCAAUACAUCACCGGCGGACGGGUGCGUAACACGUGGGAAUAUACCUUUUGGUUCGGAACAACGCAGGGAAACUUGCGCUAAUACCGAAUGUGCCCUUACGGGGAAAGAUUUAUCGCCAAAGGAUUAGCCCGCGUAGGAUUAGCUAGUUGGUGAGGUAAUGGCUCACCAAGGCUCCGAUCCUUAGCUGUUCUGAGAGGAAGAUCAGCCACACUGGGACUGAGACACGGCCCAGACUCCUACGGGAGGCAGCAGUUGGGAAUCUGGACAAUGGGGGAAACCCUGAUCCAGCCAUGCCGCGUGAGUGAUGAAGGCCUUCGGGUUGUAAAACUCUUUCGACGGGACGAUAUGACGGUACCCGUAGAGAAGCUCCGGCUAACUUCGUGCCAGCAGCCGC